GGGGCCGUAGCUCAAUCGGUUAGAGCGCGGGACUCAUAAUCCUAAGGUUGUCGGUUCGAGUCCGACCGGCCCCA
rnacentral:tRNA from 1 species